rnacentral:rRNA from 1 species
AGUAUAAGCAAUUAUACCGUGAAACUGCGAAUGGCUCAUUAAAUCAGUUAUCGUUUAUUUGAUAAUACCUUACUACUUGGAUAACCGUGGUAAUUCUAGAGCUAAUACAUGCUGAAAAUCCCGACUUCGGAAGGGAUGUGUUUAUUAGAUAAAAAACCAAUGCCCUUCGGGGCUUUUUGGUGAUUCAUGAUAACUUUACGGAUCGCAUAGCCUUGCGCUGGCGACGGUUCAUUCAAAUUUCUGCCCUAUCAACUUUCGAUGGUAAGGUAUUGGCUUACCAUGGUUUCAACGGGUAACGGGGAAUUAGGGUUCGAUUCCGGAGAGGGAGCCUGAGAAACGGCUACCACAUCCAAGGAAGGCAGCAGGCGCGCAAAUUACCCAAUCCCGACACGGGGAGGUAGUGACAAUAAAUACUGAUACAGGGCUCUUUUGGGUCUUGUAAUUGGAAUGAGUACAAUUUAAACCUCUUAACGAGGAACAAUUGGAGGGCAAGUCUGGUGCCAGCAGCCGCGGUAAUUCCAGCUCCAAUAGCGUAUAUUAAAGUUGUUGCAGUUAAAAAGCUCGUAGUUGAAACUUGGGCCUGGCUGGCGGGUCCGCCUCACCGCGUGCACUCGUCCGGCCGGGCCUUCCUUCUGAAGAACCUCAUGCCCUUCACUGGGCGUGUUGGGGAAUCAGGACUUUUACUUUGAAAAAAUUAGAGUGUUCAAAGCAGGCCUUUGCUCGAAUACGUUAGCAUGGAAUAAUAAAAUAGGGCGUGCGUUUCUAUUUUGUUGGUUUCUAGAGACGCCGCAAUGAUUAACAGGAACAGUCGGGGGCAUCAGUAUUCAGUUGUCAGAGGUGAAAUUCUUGGAUUUACUGAAGACUAACUACUGCGAAAGCAUUUGCCAAGGGAUGUUUUCAUUAUUCAGUGAACGAAAGUUACGGGAUCGAAGACGAUCAGAUACCGUCGUAGUCUUA